rnacentral:rRNA from 1 species
UCUGCAAUCGAUUAGAGUUUGAUCCUGGCUCAGAACGAACGUUGGCGGCAUGGAUUAGGCAUGCAAGUCGCGCGAAUGCCCGCAAGGGUGGAAGCGGCGUAAGGGGCAGUAAGGCGUGGAUAACCUACCCUGAGAUUCGGCAUAGCCCGUCGAGAGACGGGGUAAUUCCGAGCGAUGCGAGUACCAGGCCUCUGGUAUUCGCCAAAGUUCAGGCGUCUUGGGAGGGGUCCACGUGGUAUUAGCUAGUUGGUGAGGUAACGGCUCACCAAGGCGAAGAUGCCUAGCGGGUGUGAGAGCACGACCCGCGCCACUGGCACUGAGACACUGGCCAGACACCUACGGGUGGCUGCAGUCGAGGAUCUUCGGCAAUGGGGGGCAACCCUGACCGAGCGAUGCCGCGUGGGCGACGAAGGCCUUCGGGUUGUAAAGCCCUGUCGAGGGGGAGAAACUUUGAUCUAUCCCUGGGAGGAAGCCCGGGCUAAGUUCGUGCCAGCAGCCGCGGUAAGACGAACCGAGCGAACGUUGUUCGGAUUCACUGGGCUUAAAGGGCGCGUAGGCGGGCCGUGUGGUCCGGGGUGAAAUCCUCCCGCUUAACGGGAGAACGGCCCCGGAUACCUGCGGUCUCGAGGAGGGUAGGGGCGUGCGAACACUGGUGAGCGAUGAAGUGCGUUGAUAUCCAGUGAACUCUGGGUGGCGAGGCGGCACGCUGA